GAUGAACGCCGGCGGUGUGCCUAAUACAUGCAAGUCGAGCGCACUGGCCCAACUGAUAUGACGUGCUUGCACUGAUUUGACGUUGGAUUCCCAGUGAGCGGCGGACGGGUGAGUAACACGUGGGCAACCUGCCCUGAAGCGGGGGAUAACAUCUGGAAACAGGUGCUAAUACCGCAUAACAACGAAAACCACAUGGUUUUCGUUUCAAAGAUGGUUUCGGCUAUCACUUCAGGAUGGGCCCGCGGUGCAUUAGCUAGUUGGUAAGGUAACGGCUUACCAAGGCGAUGAUGCAUAGCCGAGUUGAGAGACUGAUCGGCCACAAUGGAACUGAGACACGGUCCAUACUCCUACGGGAGGCAGCAGUAGGGAAUCUUCCACAAUGGGCGCAAGCCUGAUGGAGCAACACCGCGUGAGUGAAGAAGGGUUUCGGCUCGUAAAGCUCUGUUGUUGGAGAAGAACGUGCGUGAGAGUAACUGUUCACGCAGUGACGGUAUCCAACCAGAAAGUCACGGCUAACUACGUGCCAGCAGCCGCGGUAAUACGUAGGUGGCAAGCGUUAUCCGGAUUUAUUGGGCGUAAAGCGAGCGCAGGCGGUUGCUUAGGUCUGAUGUGAAAGCCUUCGGCUUAACCGAAGAAGUGCAUCGGAAACCGGGCGACUUGAGUGCAGAAGAGGACAGUGGAACUCCAUGUGUAGCGGUGGAAUGCGUAGAUAUAUGGAAGAACACCAGUGGCGAAGGCGGCUGUCUGGUCUGCAACUGACGCUGAGGCUCGAAAGCAUGGGUAGCGAACAGGAUUAGAUACCCUGGUAGUCCAUGCCGUAAACGAUGAGUGCUAGGUGUUGGAGGGUUUCCGCCCUUCAGUGCCGGAGCUAACGCAUUAAGCACUCCGCCUGGGGAGUACGACCGCAAGGUUGAAACUCAAAGGAAUUGACGGGGGCCCGCACAAGCGGUGGAGCAUGUGGUUUAAUUCGAAGCUACGCGAAGAACCUUACCAGGUCUUGACAUCUUGCGCUAACCUAAGAGAUUAGGCGUUCCCUUCGGGGACGCAAUGACAGGUGGUGCAUGGUCGUCGUCAGCUCGUGUAGCGGUGGAAUGCGUAGAUAUAUGGAAGAACACCAGUGGCGAAGGCGGCUGUCUGGUCUGCAACUGACGCUGAGGCUCGAAAGCAUGGGUAGCGAACAGGAUUAGAUACCCUGGUAGUCCAUGCCGUAAACGAUGAGUGCUAGGUGUUGGAGGGUUUCCGCCCUUCAGUGCCGGAGCUAACGCAUUAAGCACUCCGCCUGGGGAGUACGACCGCAAGGUUGAAACUCAAAGGAAUUGACGGGGGCCCGCACAAGCGGUGGAGCAUGUGGUUUAAUUCGAAGCUACGCGAAGAACCUUACCAGGUCUUGACAUCUUGCGCUAACCUAAGAGAUUAGGCGUUCCCUUCGGGGACGCAAUGACAGGUGGUGCAUGGUCGUCGUCAGUUCGUGUG
rnacentral:rRNA from 2 species